GGUAGGUGGAGGCGCAGCGCGUAUACAAUGGCCGCUGGAAGGAGGCUAAAGCAAACAAUUUUUAGGCCUGCGGUGAAACAAAAAUAUGAGAAAAAAAUUUUUAAAAAAUCGAAUAAUUGUUUAAAGCCGGAAAAAAAUGCGGAAAAGUGAUGUUGAAAGUCCCGUGAUGCUGCCAGACCUGCUAAGAUCCUGUAUCCACCCCAUCCACACCCCUUUUGCCAAAUUAAUUUGCAAGAAAUUUAUCAAUCACAUCUAAGUAACAAAAUUGUCAACCUAAUUGUCAGAAGUAGUGAGUUGAACAAUUUACCACAGUACUGACUCUUUCUCGAGGAUGCCCAAAUACUUAGUAAUGAAUUUCCUGUUGACUAUGGUUUUGUUUUUAAGUAACUUCUCAAGUAAAGGUGCUUGCCUGCAUCUGUUUGGCUUUCUGCUGAGCAUUCACGUUUACCUGAAACCAGUUAUUCAUGCCAACAUGAUGAGUCUUUCCACUUCCACAACUCGUACUGGGUAAAAACAUUGAAGACACCACUGAUGCUGCUGUGUACAGCACCGACCCAGACACUCCGUCACUGCCAUUGUCAUGAGACCACAUAAGGCACAUCUCACCGAUUACAGCCACUGCUGAUGCCGCUGGGUCUUAUACUGGGCCCAAAUUUACCUCUGUGAAUCUGUGCCAGACGCAAACGUCGCUGAAAACCCAAACAUGCCUCCACAACCGCAGCAGCCAUGAGUCAAUGUUAGGACCACCUCGACAAUGCGGAAGCCGCUGAGAACUCAAACUCUUCUCCACUGCUACCAUGAGUCUGCCGUGCUGGGCCUACUCGAGUCCAUGACACAGCUCUUCACCAAGAGAUCAUCAAAAAUGGCAUACUUUUGGUCACCACCAGGAGGAAUUAGCAGGGCUGGUUGAGACCAGUGUGCAUGAUUUGCAACAGGAGAGUGGAGUACAGAAAAGGUAACUAUCCUUUUUAUGUGCUAGAACUAUGCCAACAUGGUCUGUACGUGCUACAGGUAAUUUCAUAACACAAAUCUGAAUGCAUGUCAGGUUGGAGACAGGUCUUUUUUUCCAAAAUUAAUUUUAAGCUGUAAGAAGUGGGGAGGUACUAAGAUGCAAGUUGUACAUGCUUCAGUGAAAAAUAAUGUGAGCAGUAUUUAUAAGGUUAGUUUGAGAAGUGUUAUGUAAAAAGGCAUGAUAUAAUCAAGUGUAAAAAUGCUUAGAUGAAUACUAACUUCCAUGAGAGCUGGUAGGAACUGCAGAUGCUGGAGAAUCCGAGACAACAAGGUGCAGGGCUGGAUGAACACAGCAGGCCAAGCAGCAUCAU